CUUGACUCGAAUUGGGCCGGCCUUUUUACAUCUCUUCGCUGCCCCCUUCCUCGUGCGACUCGCCCGUUCCUCCACAGAUAAGCUUUCCUCUCUCGUGCGGCGAUCCCCUUUUCCUCCUUCGUGCGACAGAUCCUACUCCGGCGAUCCUACUCCGGCAAGAGACCGCCGCCCUUGUGGCCAGCAUCUCCAUCGUCGGCGUCCGCGUUGUCCAGGGCUCCGUCAAGCUCGGCGUCAUCUAGGGUUCCGGCAAGCCCGGCGUCGUCUAGGCUUCCGCCAAGCUCGGCGUCAUCUAGGUCCUCGUCAAGCCGGCAUCCACAAGAUAUGUUGUAUAAAAGUCGAGAAAGCAUUUUUUCUGAUGGACUGGUGUUAGCUCUGGUGAUAUUUGUUGUAGGUUACAACUAGCAGGUAUACUUGGAUGCUUUUUUUCAUGUAGAUAUGUGUGCACUGGCGUUAUUUGUAGCACUUCAGAACUAGUACCUGUACCUUGACCUUUUUUUACAUGAUGGAUAACCUUUGUGUGCUACUCUUCUCGCAUAUGUAUUGUUUGGGUGCUUAUCACAUUCACAAUUUGUAAACGAUGUAUUCCACAAACAUUAUUCAGGGAACACUAUCUACGAACAUUAUUUUAGGGAACAUUAUUGAAGGAACAUUUUUGGAGGAACAUUACUUAGGAACAUUAUUUAUUUUGAAGAACAGUUUUUGACUUCACAUAAUAUUUUUAAAUUUUGCAUAGUUAUUUGGGGACAUUCAUCGGGGAACAUUAUUUGGGGAACAUUACUCUGGGAACAUUAUUUAGCUAACAUUAUUAAGGGAACAUUUUUCUAAGAAAAAUUGUUGGCUCCAGCGAACAUUAAUUAAUUUUGUUUGAAAACAAUGUUCUCAAGAAAAGUUACAACCUGCAACUUGUUUAGGCUUUUACCAACAUUAUUCUUCGUUUUAUGGGAACAUUUUGCAAGGAAUUUCUUUACUCUAGGGAACGUUAUUUUAUUUAUAGAACAUUUUAGAGUUUAGAGAUAGUUUUAAAUAUACCUAGAACAUCUUCCAUGGAACAUUAUUUAGGGAACAUUUUUCAAGGGACAUUUAUGAGGGAACAUUAUGUACGGAACAUUAUUCGGGGAACAUUAUUUAGGUAACAUUAUCAAAGGAACCUUUUGAAAGGAAAAGUUAUUGACUCUAGGGAACAUUAUUUAUUUUGAAGAACAUUUUCUGACUUCAAAGAAUAUUUUCAAAAUAUAUGUAGUACAUUUUCCAGGGAACAUUAUUCAAGGAACAUUUUCCAAGGGACAUUUAUGAGGGAACAUUAUUUUAAAAACAUUUUCCCACGAACAUUAUUCAGGUAACAUUAUGAAGGGAACAUUUUUGCAGCUAACUUGAACAAGUGAUAUAUUUUCGAAGUAACAUUGUUUAUAAAACUUUUUUCCAGCUAACAUUAUUGAGGGGAACAUUAAUUAUGCAACCUUUAUUCAGGGAACAUUUUGCACGGAAAAUUUGUUGACUCCACAAAACAUUAUUUAAUUCGAAGAACAUUUUACGGAUAUCAUUAAAGAACAUUUUGUUUAAUUGUUCGUACCAAACAAAAUGCAUGCACCUGCCCGGAGCAAAGAAAAAUAACAAAAAAGAAAGAGGGCAAUGAACCAUGUCCCCUGUGACCUCAUUCAUACGGAACAUUUUUUUUGUAAUAAGUGCUCUUAUAGAUUAUUCAUUUUGACAGAGCUUAGACUAACAGUUUGUUCCUUUCUAAAACUAUGUAGGUCAAAAUGCCUGUAUUCAAGGAAAAACAAUGGAUACUGAUUGUUGCUAAAUUCAGAGUCAAAUUGAUUGAUAUUAUUAAUCCGUACUACAGUGGUGAUACAUUUCUACCGACAGUUAGUUCACUAAUUUACAACUUCAAGGCUUUGUUCGCUGCCACAUACGGAAAUACUAAUUCUUUUAACAUAGGAAAUUUUGAGUCAACAUUUGUACCAGCUCCCAAGGUCAAUUUCAGGCGCCUUUUUUGAAUGGAACUCUCCCCUGUACUUAUAACCCUGAUAAGCAACUUUUGUGCUCUAUCUCCACAAAUAACAGUUACAAAGAAUUUAAAAUUCACCAAAUGUUCCAUCACUAUUUUUUUUACAGGUAUGACUCAGGGAUUUUCCUUCUUCAAUAUUUGAGCAACUACAGAGGUCUCGGAAUGGAGGGUUUCCCUAAUGCAAGACGAUCUAUAAGCUCAACGUGAGAAAUACCAUUUUGAGAUUGUUACUGGCAAGGACAAUGAAAUUCAGCUGCCAUUCGUAACUUCUUUCCUGCAGAAACAUCAGGGUUUCCGCAUAUUCAAGUGAAGCUUUGAAGGCCAAUCAUUUUUUGUCCUGCAUAUGAACUCAUCUUAGGGUCUCAUCACUAUUUUUUAUUGUCAACUUCAAGGGAAAUUGCAGUGCAAGACUUUUUUUGAACUGAAAGGAAUUCUUCCAUGAGGGAAAUGUUUCCUUAAUGAUACAGUUCUAUGUUUUUAUCAUGGUGCCCAGUGAUACUUUCUUGCAUUACUUUCAGUUGCAAAGAAGAUUCAAAACUGCAGAAUUAGUUUGUAAAGAAGCUCUAAGCAUAAUUACUGUUUUUAAAUGUUUCUUCGACCUUUCAGUACUGUUAUUUAACAAGCAUAAUUACUGUUUUUAAAUGUUUC